UCCAUUUACUCUCAUCCCAAUGAGCCUUGAGGUUAAUGGUGUCAAAUGGUUAGAGAUAUACAUUAAUAAGUUGAGCUUCACAAAUUGCUUGAAUUUUGGGCCGGUUUAGGGCAUUCGAGCGGUUCACUCGAAUCUCAGCCCGAUUGAUAACUAAGGUCACAAAAAGGGUACAAGCUGGGAGGGAAUGCCCACCCUUGAAUUUCACAGGGCCCCACUUGAUUCACAAAACAACGAUCCUCCAUCUAGACCAGAUAAAAGGUUUGAAUGGCCUUUGAUUAUAUAUACACAACACGGUGGGCCCCCAAAACUAAUCAGCAGUGAACCUCCCUCUGAAUAUGUUCCCCGUGUUGUGGCCCAUUUGAGAUUUGGAUUGGGCUCAUUCUUGAGCUUUGGAGGUUUUUUGAGGUGAAGCGUCUUAUGGAUGGGUUGGAUUCCGUGAAAACAUCAUUGAGCCCCACAUCUGCCUGGUACCACUGGAGUGCUCUCCAUCUGUCAAUGCAUAACGAUGGUUUUUUCGCUCUAAUUGCAGCUAUGUUCCUUUCAAGUCCUGCUUGAAGGUAACGCAAUCGCAAUUGGAGCGAAGACCCUUAGAAUGAAUUCUCUAGAAGGAAAUCACAAUCUGGGAGAAGGACCGGGAUGCGACCCUGAAAAAUGGAAAGACCUCUUCAGAGCGGCCCAAAUCCAAUAGUUGGAUGCAAUACGGGUUUCUUCUCACUGGGGUUAAGGAGCCUGACUUCGAACCCUUGUACCAAUACUGUAUGUUCUCAAACACAUUCCUACCAGCGAUUGUCGCCUGUAUCAUCUCUAAAAUGAGAUGUAUAUGUAAGAGAAUUAUUCAAAAACUCCAAAAUGCUUUGUUGCAUAUGGAAGAUAGUAAAUGCAGUUGAAAUAGAUGUAGUUUUCUUGAA